AUUGAACGCUGGCGGCGUGCUUAACACAUGCAAGUCGAUCGGUAACGCGGGGGCAACCCUGGCGACGAGAGGCGGACGGGUGAGGAACGCUUGGGAAUCUGCCUAUCAGCGGGGGACAACCCGGGGAAACUCGGGCUAAUACCGCAUACGCUCUACGGAGGAAAGCCGGGGACCGCAAGGCCUGGCUCUGAGAGAUGAGCCCAAGUCGGAUUAGCUAGUUGGCGGGGUAACGGCCCACCAAGGCGACGAUCCGUAGAUGGUCUGAGAGGACGAUCAGCCACACUGGGACUGAGACACGGCCCAGACUCCUACGGGAGGCAGCAGUGGGGAAUAUUGGACAAUGAGGGAAACCCUGAUCCGGCGACGCCGCGUGGGUGAAGAAGGCCUGCGGGUUGUAAAGCCCUUUCGGUAGGGACGAAAGCUCUCGACCUAACACGUCGGGAGGUUGACUUAACCUACAAAAGAAGCACCGGCUAACUCUGUGCUAGCCGCCGCCGUAAAAC
rnacentral:rRNA from 1 species